CUGGCGGCGUGCCUAAUACAUGCAAGUCGAGCGAACGGACGAGAAGCUUGCUUCUCUGAUGUUAGCGGCGGACGGGUGAGUAACACGUGGAUAACCUACCUAUAAGACUGGGAUAACUUCGGGAAACCGGAGCUAAUACCGGAUAAUAUUUUGAACCGCAUGGUUCAAAAGUGAAAGACGGUCUUGCUGUCACUUAUAGAUGGAUCCGCGCUGCAUUAGCUAGUUGGUAAGGUAACGGCUUACCAAGGCAACGAUGCAUAGCCGACCUGAGAGGGUGAUCGGCCACACUGGAACUGAGACACGGUCCAGACUCCUACGGGAGGCAGCAGUAGGGAAUCUUCCGCAAUGGGCGAAAGCCUGACGGAGCAACGCCGCGUGAGUGAUGAAGGUCUUCGGAUCGUAAAACUCUGUUAUUAGGGAAGAACAUAUGUGUAAGUAACUGUGCACAUCUUGACGGUACCUAAUCAGAAAGCCACGGCUAACUACGUGCCAGCAGCCGCGGUAAUACGUAGGUGGCAAGCGUUAUCCGGAAUUAUUGGGCGUAAAGCGCGCGUAGGCGGUUUUUUAAGUCUGAUGUGAAAGCCCACGGCUCAACCGUGGAGGGUCAUUGGAAACUGGAAAACUUGAGUGCAGAAGAGGAAAGUGGAAUUCCAUGUGUAGCGGUGAAAUGCGCAGAGAUAUGGAGGAACACCAGUGGCGAAGGCGACUUUCUGGUCUGUAACUGACGCUGAUGUGCGAAAGCGUGGGGAUCAAACAGGAUUAGAUACCCUGGUAGUCCACGCCGUAAACGAUGAGUGCUAAGUGUUAGGGGGUUUCCGCCCCUUAGUGCUGCAGCUAACGCAUUAAGCACUCCGCCUGGGGAGUACGACCGCAAGGUUGAAACUCAAAGGAAUUGACGGGGACCCGCACAAGCGGUGGAGCAUGUGGUUUAAUUCGAAGCAACGCGAAGAACCUUACCAAAUCUUGACAUCCUUUGACAACUCUAGAGAUAGAGCUUUCCCCUUCGGGGGACAAAGUGACAGGUGGUGCAUGGUUGUCGUCAGCUCGUGUCGUGAGAUGUUGGGUUAAGUCCCGCAACGAGCGCAACCCUUAAGCUUAGUUGCCAUCAUUAAGUUGGGCACUCUAAGUUGACUGCCGGUGACAAACCGGAGGAAGGUGGGGAUGACGUCAAAUCAUCAUGCCCCUUAUGAUUUGGGCUACACACGUGCUACAAUGGACAAUACAAAGGGCAGCGAAACCGCGAGGUCAAGCAAAUCCCAUAAAGUUGUUCUCAGUUCGGAUUGUAGUCUGCAACUCGACUACAUGAAGCUGGAAUCGCUAGUAAUCGUAGAUCAGCAUGCUACGGUGAAUACG
rnacentral:rRNA from 1 species